UGGGGGAUAUUGCGCAAUGGGGGCAACCCUGACGCAGCAACGCCGCGUGAAGGAUGAAGGUUUUCGGAUUGUAAACUUCUUUUAUUAAGGACGAAACUUGACGGUACUUAAUGAAUAAGCUCCGGCUAACUACGUGCCAGCAGCCGCGGUAAUACGUAGGGAGCAAGCGUUGUCCGGAUUUACUGGGUGUAAAGGGUGCGUAGGCGGCUUUGCAAGUCAGAUGUGAAAUCUAUGGGCUCAACCCAUAAACUGCAUUUGAAACUGUAGAGCUUGAGUGAAGUAGAGGCAGGCGGAAUUCCCCGUGUAGCGGUGAAAUGCGUAGAGAUGGGGAGGAACACCAGUGGCGAAGGCGGCCUGCUGGGCUUUAACUGACGCUGAGGCACGAAAGCGUGGGUAGCAAACAGGAUUAGAUACCCUGGUAGUCCACGCUGUAAACGAUGAUUACUAGGUGUGGGGGGUCUGACCCCCUCCGUGCCGGAGUUAACACAAUAAGUAAUCCACCUGGGGAGUACGGCCGCAAGGUUGAAACUCAAAGGAAUUGACGGGGGCCCGCACAAGCAGUGGAGUAUGUGGUUUAAUUCGAAGCAACGCGAAGAACCUUACCAGGUCUUGACAUCCAACUAACGAAGUAGAGAUACAUUAGGUGCCCUUCGGGGAAAGUUGAGACAGGUGGUGCAUGGUUGUCGUCAGCUCGUGUCGUGAGAUGUUGGGUUAAGUCCCGCAACGAGCGCAACCCUUGCUAUUAGUUGCUACGCAAGAGCACUCUAAUAGGACUGCCGUUGACAAAACGGAGGAAGGUGGGGACGACGUCAAAUCAUCAUGCCCCUUAUGACCUGGGCCACACACGUACUACAAUGGAUGUUAACAGAGGGAAGCAAGACAGCGAUGUGGAGCAAACCCCUAAAAACAUUCUCAGUUCAGAUUGCAGGCUGCAACCCGCCUGCAUGAAGAUGGAAUUGCUAGUAAUCGCGGAUCAGCAUGCCGCGGUGAAUACGUUCCC
rnacentral:rRNA from 2 species